rnacentral:rRNA from 1 species
GACGAACGCUGGCGGCGUGCUUAACACAUGCAAGUCGAACGGAAAGGCCCUGCUUUUGUGGGGUGCUCGAGUGGCGAACGGGUGAGUAACACGUGAGUAACCUGCCCUGGACUUUGGGAUAACUUCAGGAAACUGGGGCUAAUACCGGAUAAGAGCUCCUGCUGCAUGGUGGGGGUUGGAAAGUUUCGGCGGUUGGGGAUGGACUCGCGGCUUAUCAGCUUGUUGGUGGGGUAGUGGCUUACCAAGGCUUUGACGGGUAGCCGGCCUGAGAGGGUGACCGGCCACAUUGGGACUGAGAUACGGCCCAGACUCCUACGGGAGGCAGCAGUGGGGAAUAUUGCACAAUGGGCGGAAGCCUGAUGCAGCAACGCCGCGUGCGGGAUGACGGCCUUCGGGUUGUAAACCGCUUUCGCCUGUGACGAAGCGUGAGUGACGGUAAUGGGUAAAGAAGCACCGGCUAACUACGUG